AACAGUAAAAUAAGUUAUUGGUGAAAUAAAUAGACUCAACAAAACAUUAAUUAAAACAAAGUAAUACAAAUUACCUGGAUUCUCGCCGAAUAAGUGACAAAAUACAUAACAUAAAUGGUGACUGGUCAUAACCCCAAACUUAUCUCAUUGCUUGUCCUUAAGCAAUUUAUGUCACCCAUUAAAAUAGUUGAAGAAUCAACUUUUACCAAAAUAC
rnacentral:lncRNA from 1 species